CCCCCCUCUGUACAUAGCUAGGCUGCCGCUUGGUGCUCUGAGUCACGCUAUACAUAACAAUGAUUCAGCGCACCCCCCUUCCCCUUCCCCAUCCCUCCUCCUCCCCCCGUGGCGCCCAGAUAAGACACGUGGAAAAAAAAAGACAGGUAAAUGAUGAUAGUUGAUUGUGUGUGUGUGUGUGUGUUUCCUUCCAAAGAUUUUACUCCACACACACACACACACACACACACACACACACACACACACACACUGCCUUUGUAAGUAUGUGCAUAAUAAGGGCAUUCACUCAUUCGUUCUUCUAACUUCAUUCUAUCUUGUAUUUCGUGUAAUCUCACCGUUCACAUUUUACAGUAUGACGGUUUUGGUAUCUGGUAAUAUCCACCUCUGUGCUAUGUCACGCAAGGAAAUUCAUGUAUAUACUUAUCAAUAUUAUUUUUUUAGAGACGGAGCAAAAAAACAAAUCAAUAUGCCGUGUAAGAAGACUCCGCGUGUGUGUGUGUGUGUGUGUGUGUGUGUGUGUGUGUGUGUGUGUGUUUGGGGGCGCCACCGUAAGAGGGAGGGGGUGGGGGGGGUCGGUGCGUGUCUGCGGUCAUCAAAGCUGCGCGGAGUGAUAACAGUGACUCGAGAGGACGACGUGACGAGAACACGAAAAAGACAACAAAGAGGAAAGAAAAUAACACGGACGACCUCGGAAAAAAAAAAAAAAAAAAAAAAAAAAAAAGAAUCCGAGUGAAGUUGUCCACUUUCGAAACAUGUGUUGUGUACUGUCUUUCGUCUCUGUACUUUAUUAUUAUUAUUAUUAUUAUUAUUAUUAUUAUUAUUAUUAUUAUUAUUAGGGUCUCUGAUUUUCUGUAUUGUGUGCCUGGUCUUGCCUCCUCUUCUCUGACCUGCUGACCUGCGUGGAAGUCGUAGGAAGGGAAAAUAUUGUGCCAUUCAGUCCCUCAGUCAGUCAGUCAACCAGUCAGUCAGCAACAGUCACGUGCCCACUUUGGUCUCUUCUCUGACUGGUUGACUGACUGGCUGGUUUAUAGACGUGUUUGUGGUUCAGGUGUUUGUGUGCCAGUCAGUCAGUCAGUCAGUCAGCAAAGGGUAGUCAGCAGAAGUCACGUGCCAGCUUUGCCCCCGUCUGACUGGCUGAUUGACUGACUGACUUAUAGACGUGGUUGUGGUUCAGGUGUUUGUAUGCCAGUCAGUCAGUCAGUCAGCGAAGAGUCAGCAAGAAUCAGGUGUUGUUAUGUAGCCCGAGCUGACGAGGCUACCUGUGCGGCUACACCCACCUGUCGCCCACCCCACCCACCCACCCGCACACCUGCCCGCCCACCCAUCACCCACCUGGACGCUAAUUAAACCACGCGUGCACAGGUAAAGUGGCCCAGUCUGAUUUGGAUUUCAACUUUUGUAGCAUCUUUUUUUUUUAAUGUAGUAUCAAUCUUAUUUCCCUUCAUGAUUUUUUGGGUCGGUAAUAUAUUCGUUCCCCUUUUCUACCUUUUUUCACUAUUCUGAUUUAGUUCUGUACAGUUAUUUUAUCCAUCAUUAAUAUUUGUUAUUCUCCUGUUGUAUUUUUUCAUUACUUUUGUGUUCUCAUUUUACCUGUGCGUGGCGUGGGCAGGUGUGUGUGUGUGUGUGUGUGUGAGGUGUGCGCCAUUGUGAGUGUUGCCGUACCAUCAGCGUUGCCAGACCAGCGAGGCGAGGGAGGAAGGAAGGAAAGAAAGAAGGAAGGAAGGAAGGAAGGACAAAACGAGUGCCAAUUCAGGUGGGGGAUACUUUUUUUAUUUACGGUAAAGGAAGCAGCUCAAGGGCAAAAAUAAAUGAGUAAAAAAAAAAAAAAAAAAAAAAAAAAAAAAA